GGAAAACCUGGAAAAGGGGUAACAUUUAAAAUGUAAAUAAAAUAUCCAAUAAAAGAAUAAAGAAAACCCACCAUACAGCAGCAUGGUAGUGCUGGUCUCCAAUAAUCUUGAAUUCUGGUUUCCUAUUUAUUGAAAGUUGAGAAUCCAAACCUGUCAGUCCCCCCAUAUUGCUCUUAGGUCUAAUCCAGUAUGGUUUUGAUUCAUUGGGUUUUUUUUUAUUGGAUAAUUUUUUUAUUUACAUUUCAAAUGUUAUUCCCUUUCCCCGGUUUGGGUUUUACUUGUAACACUUCCUCUCUCUCUGCCUUUCAGCUUCCAAGCAAUCACUUAGCAGUGCAUAGCAAUCUAUUCCCAAAACUGUUGGCCCAAACAGGAUCCACACCCAUUUGCCUGAGUCUAUGGUGAUUAGUAUAGGAAAUUUGAAGAGGAGUCAGCUGUGAGCAGAAAUGGUUUUCUACCCUUAGCACUCUAUGCCCUACUAAAUGCUUCUAAAUGGUAACUAUUUUUUUUAAAAAAGGGGUGUAACGGGAAGCCCACAGAGACACCGCUAACCUCCUUUAUCAUUGUUGUCCAAUAGCUUGCAGGAGAGCACCCCUCCAGCCAUAAAUCAUGAGACAAGUAGACAGCAGGACUUGGAGUCCUGGAUUCCGAAAGAACUUGUGCAUGCUUACCAGCCUGUGUCACAGCAGAUUCUGGCCUGCUUACAAAAGCACAGUGACAAGAAACCAGGCGAAUAUGGGCCCAGAGGCCACCCGGGACUAGCAAGGUGGCAAGGUGAUACUUGAUACUGGAAUGGCUAAAACAUUAGGAAGACUCCCAAAGACAACUCUGUUGCCUAAAAUUCUAGGGCCACUAAAAUACUAGCUUGAGGUGAGCAAAACCCCGUGGAUUUCACACAUACCUGAACCCAGACUGCAGGAGACAGAGAUAAUGAAAAUAAAGGCAUUCCCCCCAGUUGUUCUUCCCUGACUCAUGGCAUCCUAGAACUUUGUAGCGACUGUGAAAGAUGACUUCCUUAGCCAGCAAACCCAACAGAUUCUAACCCAUUUCGGGAUGAUUUACUCCAAGAAAAACACACGUAUUGAGGAUUUGAUUCCCAGCUAGUGACUCUUUUUGGAGAUGCUGAAAUGUAGGUGCUUAGACCUAGCUGGAGGAAGGAGAACACUGGAGGUGGGUCUGAGGGAUCCAUCUUCUUUUCCCUUCUGUCCUGUCUAAUACAAGGAUUUAAGGCUGAAGACUUUGAGACAGCGAGCCAAAAGAGAGACAGGGAGUCACUGAUCAUUUGCAUCCACAGUUUUAUGAAUGGAGCUGGCUGGUAUAGGAUGUCAGUUAAGCUAGGUUUUUUUCACCUCUAGAGUUUUGUGGGAAUUUUCCCUGAGCCUGUCUCACUGCUUAUUAAUUUAUUUAUUAAUUGGUUGCGAGUCGGUUAAUUAGCUUGCUUUUUUUGAAACAGGGUCUCUAUAGUCCAUGCUUGCCUCGGAUUACUUACAUAACCCAGGUUGGCACGGAACUCAUAAUCCUUCUGCCUCUGCCUCCUGAGCCACCGCACACCACUGGCACGUUUAUUAUUAAGCACAGCUCUUGAUUUAUUUCACAGGAUGCUUAAGAGAAUAAAGAUAAUUUAGUAUGUGUGACAAUUUCAUGGGAGCACCAGCGUUUUUAUAUAAAAUACAAUCUAGGUAAAUGGUCAUUUGCCCUCAGCAUCCUUCCAGUCCACAGCAAGAGAAACGUGUUUUUUGGAAAUUGACUUCAAGUUGGUCUCAUAAGCUCUGUUUAAAUGCUUUUAGGGCUGGAAGCUCAUUUCUUCUAGUGGUGCUUAUUCAAUUAUUACACAUAUUUAGCUAAUUGAAAAUACUUUUCUAUAACAAGCUGCAAGAUACUCAUUAAAGAUUUGAUCAUAAAACUCAACCCA